GUCUACGGCCAUACCACCCUGAACGCGCCCGAUCUCGUCUGAUCUCGGAAGCUAAGCAGGGUCGGGCCUGGUUAGUACUUGGAUGGAAGAAUCUGGUAUUUUCUAUU
rnacentral:rRNA from 1 species